GGAUCUGACAUUUUGUAGCCUUUGUGCCUGGGCUGCUCCAAAAUCUGAGGUUUUAAGGAGCAACAGGAGCUGGCUGGACCUAGUGAACUUUCAGUUUAUGCCCUGCGUUUGGGACCAGGAGAGGAAAUCGUCACCUCUUUGUUAAAAUUUGUGGAGGAUAAGCAGCUAAAAGCUCCAUUUGUCAUGACUUGUGUGGGCAGCAUCACCAAAGCAACGCUGAGACUGGCAAAUGCCACUGCUUUGAAUACUAAUCAGGAUCUAACCUUGUGCCCAUUUCCCUGAUAGUCAGUCCUAAGAACCGUCUGGAGCCUGAAGCACUUUUUAUUUCAGCAAUCUUCAGCUCUACUUUCUGCAAGUUGAUCCAGAUGUCUGCAACACCCUGUCUCACCUGCCAGGCAAGAAGCAGCUUCUGUAGAUGGAAGCUACCCAGGGAAAGAUGAUGCAGUGUUUCUUAUCCAGAACCGGAGUCUCAUCUCAUCAAUCACGAGAACGUGAAGAAGCCCCAGUGACCUGUGUCAGAGCAAGGUGCUGUUCACCAGGAGAAAGGGAGGGCAGAGCCUAGCCAUGAAUUAAACUUGCUUCUGCUUUUCCCAUUUAUGGAUUCUUUGUCACUUCUAUUUUCUUUCACAGUCUCCCCCCACCCCUCACAGUCCCUCUGAUGGCACUCAGUGUGGAGCUUUGGCAAGUAGCUUCUCUUGCCUGUUUCCCUCCCAACUCCUGCCCUGUGCUCUGAGAAUGGUCACAGAGUGAUACAGCCUGUUUUUUA